ensembl:lncRNA
AACAUUCAUUGUGUUAUUGCAUUAAUACAGUUUAAACAGUAGAUAUUUGGGGGAAGUUACUAACAUAAAAGUGGAAUAUUGGAAUAUGUCUGACAAGAGGAACAGUCCUGCCCAGUGUGAAAGCCAACACACACAGCCUUACACACUCAGCUCCCUGUAUUCUACAGCUGCACUGCUACAGCUUCACCUAGAGGGGGCGAUAGAAACAACCAGAUUUAAGGGACAGGACAAACAAGACCAAUGACAGACAACACAUCUUAUCUGAAAGGCUCUCCUGACAUAGCUGUCCCAAUAGAGUCACUAUGAUCCAGAAACUGACUGGCCAUAGGACAUUUUGGAGCCAGAUGGACCGGUCCAUCUUUAAGCACAGUGGGCUGGCCUAAAUUGGGUGUUUGCAAAGAACAACUGUUUUGGGGGCGGGGGGGGUAGUGUGUAUGAAAAUACAUGUAAAUGUUGAAAAGAAAAACAGUCACAUUAUCAAUCAUCACAGAUCACUGCACCUGUACAUAGCCCAUCUGUAAAUAGCCCAUCCAACUACCUCAUCCCCAUACUGUAUUUAUUUAUUUAUCUUGAUCCUUUGCACCCCAGUAUCUCUACUUGCACAUUCAUCUUUUGCACAUCUAUCACUCCAGUGUUUAAUUGCUAUAUUGUAAUUACUUUGCCACCAUGGCCUAUUUAUUGCCUUACCUCUCUUAUCAUACCUCAUUUGCACACACUGUAUAUAGACUUUUUGUACUGAAUUAUUGACUGUAUGUUUGUUUAUUCCAUGUGUAACUCUGUGUUGUUGUAUGUGUCGAACUGCUUUGCUUUAUCUUGGCCAGGUCGCAGUUGUAAAUGAGAAUGUGUUCUCAACUAGCCUACCUGGUUAAAUAAAGGUGUUCUCAACUAGCCUACCUGGUUAAAUAAAGGUGUUCUCUACUAGCCUACCUGGUUAAAUAAAGGUGUUCUCAACUAGCCUACCUGGUUAAAUAAAGGUGUUCUCAACUAGCCUACCUGGUUAAAUAAAGGUGUUCUCAACUAGCCUACCUGGUUAAAUAAAGGUGUUCUCAACUAGCCUACCUGGUUAAAUAAAGGUGUUCUCAACUAGCCUACCUGUUUAAAUAAAGGUGUUCUCAACUAGCCUACCUGGUUAAAUAAAGGUGUUCUCAACUAGCCUACCUGGUUAAAUAAAGGUGUUCUCAACUAGCCUACCUGGUUAAAUAAAGGUGUUCUCAACUAGCCUACCUGGUUAAAUAAAGGUGUUCUCAACUAGCCUACCUGGUUAAAUAAAGCUGAAAUAAAAUAUAAAAAAAAUGUUCACAAUCCUCGACUGAUUUCAAUACAACAUAAACAUGUCAUAAAUAAAUAACGGCACUCACCCUAACGUCAGGACCAGACUCCACAGACCACAGGUUGGGUUGGUCCUCCUCUUCCUCCUUGUCACCAGUGGGAAACCAGCUAGGAUAAUAUUACACAGAUGGAUUAGAUUACAUCAGAUAUUCACUUAUUUAUUGAUUUGAUAAUUAAAGUAUUAGGGCUCUCCAGCCGGAGACAACAUUAUAUAUGACCUCAGUUAUAUGACUCUGUCAACUAGUAACACAGAGAUGAACAUCACAGAGACAACAUUAUAUAUGACCUCAGUUAUAUUACUCUGUCAACUAGUAACACAG